ensembl:rRNA 5S_rRNA 5S ribosomal RNA
GUCUAUGGCCAUACCACCCUGAACACACCAGAUCUCAAAUGAUCUCGGAAGCUAAGCAGGGACAGGUCUGGUUAGUUCAUGGGAGGGAGUAUACGUGUACCCAGUGAAGUAGCUG